rfam:Streptomyces violaceusniger Tu 4113, complete genome.
CGCCAAGCCGAUGGCUCCGGAGGACGCCGGAGCCAAGUGCACAAGGGA